UUUGUCGAAGGCUCCUUUGAUGUCAACAAAUACUGAGUACCUAGCCGUGUCAUUAGCCAAAUGCAAUUAAGAGGUCGGCCAUGGCAUGAGGUGGGAGAAAAAAUCUGCAGGGCGUAAUGGACCUAGGUUUACCUGAAAAAUUCUAUAAACGUGCAAAAUUGCUGGAGAAACCAUAGAAAAAAUACAUUAUGAUCUUAUGAAAGAUUACAGAGCAACAAUAGCAGAGAAGCAGGUUGACAUCUUCAGAGAAAUAUCUCCUCAAUAUCAACAGUUGGAAGCUUCAAGAAGACACACAGAUACGACGUGCGCAAGUUACUAGAGUUUAACUCUCCCUUCAUGCUUUCAUUAUUAUAGAAAUUAAAAUUGCUGACAAAAAAGUAUAUACUGCACCAUGGAUAGGAGCAACAUUUUCUUCAGAUAAAAUUUAUUGGUUAUACCUUUAAAUAAAUAAUAAUUGAAAUAUAAAUAAUUAAAAUAUAAAUAAAUUAACAAUAAUGAUUAGGAAAGGCUAUUAAACUUUUGAAAUAUUUUGUGAUGACUGCAAAUACGGUUAUUCAAAUUGUAAUCUUAUAAUUAUCAAUAAAUAUUAGCUGCUAACAAA
rnacentral:lncRNA from 1 species